rfam:Prevotella sp. CAG:485 genomic scaffold, scf124
GAUUGCCUUUUAAGCCUUUUCUCUCGGCAAUCGCGGCUG